rnacentral:lncRNA from 1 species
GUUAUUCAACAUGUUGAAUUUUCUCAACACCAAUUAAUCCACAUCAUCAAAUUUCAUUUUUCAACACCUUCAUUGUAUGGAUUCAACUGUUGAAUCUUUUAUUCAACACCUCCAUUGUACAUAGUCUUAUGAAUCCAUGUUUUCUUUAUCCAUUUAAUUCUCUUUAUAUGUCUCAUGAAGAAGAAAAAAAAUACUCUUUCCACACCUAUUAAAUCAUCAUAUUUAGUCCUUGCUUCUUCUUUUGGAGAUCAACAAAUUUAUAUAACUUCUCCAUGAAUUAGUUUGUUCUUUAGACCAAAAACUUUUCUUCCCACAAAAACCUUUUUUACGUUUUUGUAGUUUCCCCAAACGGACUCCAGUGACUGAUUUUCUGUUGCCUCUAGUUGCUUGAUCUUUGGCCAUUCACGAAAUGUGGUGUUGAGUGUAACUCCAGUGAACGGUCUUUUUUUACACGGAGAAGACCGUUCGUAUUAUGAAAAAAAAAACAGAAAAGAAAAUCUAAAAAAAAAACAUCUCGAUCUCCAUCUUUCUCUGUGAGAAAGGCAUUAUAAUGGAGACAGUCAGAUUAUGCCGAAAUAAAUGAAAAAAAAAAUUUCUUGAUUGUGUUUUAAUGUUAAAAGUCCAUAAUAUAGGAUAAACUAAGAUUUUGUUAAUGUUAGUUUGAAUUUUGUGUGACAUCAUAUAUUCAGUUUUCUUUAAAUACUUAGUGGUUAUGAUUUGA